rnacentral:rRNA from 1 species
GACGAACGCUGGCGGCGUGCUUAACACAUGCAAGUCGAACGGAAAGGCCCUGCUUUUGUGGGGUGCUCGAGUGGCGAACGGGUGAGUAACACGUGAGUAACCUGCCCUUGACUUUGGGAUAACUUCAGGAAACUGGGGCUAAUACCGGAUAGGAGCUCCUGCUGCAUGGUGGGGGUUGGAAAGUUUCGGCGGUUGGGGAUGGACUCGCGGCUUAUCAGCUUGUUGGUGGGGUAGUGGCUUACCAAGGCUUUGACGGGUAGCCGGCCUGAGAGGGUGACCGGCCACAUUGGGACUGAGAUACGGCCCAGACUUCUACGGGAGGCAGCAGUGGGGAAUAGUGCACAAUGGGCGGAAGCCGGAUGCAGCAACGCCGCGUGCGGGAUGACGGCCUUCGGGUUGUAAACCGCUUUCGCCUGUGACGAAGCGUGAGUGACGGUAAUGGGUAAAGAAGCACCGGCUAACUACGUG